GCUUUCGCACUUCCGCUUCCGACGGUGUGAGCGGGACGCGCGGCGUGGUGUGGUGUUCCGUAGCGAUGGCGGCCGGCGGUAGCGACCCGCGGGCCGGCGACGUAGAGGAGGAUGCCUCACAGCUUAUCUUUCCCAAAGAGUUUGAAACAGCUGAGACACUACUCAAUUCAGAAGUUCAUAUGCUUCUGGAGCAUCGAAAGCAGCAGAAUGAGAGUGCGGAGGAUGAGCAGGAACUUUCUGAGGUCUUCAUGAAAACUUUAAAUUACACAGCCCGUUUCAGUCGUUUCAAAAACAGAGAGACCAUUGCCAGUGUCCGUAGCCUGUUGCUCCAGAAGAAGCUUCAUAAGUUUGAGUUGGCCUGUUUGGCCAACCUUUGCCCAGAGACUGCGGAGGAGUCGAAGGCUCUGAUCCCGAGCCUGGAGGGGCGGUUUGAAGAUGAGGAGCUACAGCAGAUUCUUGAUGACAUCCAGACCAAGCGCAGCUUUCAGUACUGAUCUCCAGAUACCAUUCUGCUGAGGGAACUGCAUCCGCCGUCCCAGGGGCUCUGGAGCUGCCUUAAAAGAAAUUCUAUUGCAGAAGACACUUGGGUUUCCUUCGGACAGAACAACCCAGCUUUGUCUUGAUUUAGGACUUGUCUUUGUGUUGGACUUGACUGUUGGACCAUGAUAACCUGACCUUGCCUCUCAGAAUGGGGAGAUGGGGUGAUGCGCAUGUAAGGCCAGACUUGAAGGUCUGACGCUUUUUGAAGAGUCCUUGUCUGGGACACCCAGUCCAAACCUCUGGCUUGCUGCCCAGCUGUGGGUGCUCUCUGCUGGGGUAACCUGCAAAGAGGGGAUCACCUGCAAGGAGGGCUCCCUCCUCUUUGGGGGCCACCACAAGGCAGGCUGUCGCGGUAAAGCUCGUUGGGAAACGCCUUUAGCAGCUGCACAUGCAAGCAUGGUGCCGUAGCCACGUUGUAGCUGGUGAGAUUUAUCCACGGCACACAUACUGCUCACUGGAAGGGAAAAAUAGCUAAACAUUCUAGCUUUGAUAUUUCUGAAAGGAAACAUGCCUAUUUACUUCACAAUUUGGAGAUUUUUCUUUGGAGCACUUGUUGGCUCCAAAUGAAUAUGUGAUCCAAAAAAAAAGUUGGAAAGACAACAAACUUACCUUUUUCUUUUUUUAAAUAGGUGCCAUAUCCGUUGUCGGACUUGAACUCCUGACUCGGAGAUUAAGAGUCGCAUACUCUACCGACUGAGCUUGCCAGAGGCCCCAACAAAGUUAGCUUUUAAAAGUUAAGAUAGUUUGGGGUCCCUGGCUGACUCAGUAGAGCAUAUGAUUCUUGAUCUUGGGGUUGUGAGUUCAAGCCUCAUGUGGUGGAGAGUUUACUUAAAAAUAAAAUUUAAAUUUAAAAAAGUAGUUUGAUAUGUGCUGGCUAAGGCAAAAAUAAACUUUUAUAAAUUCUUUCAGUUUCUGAAAUGCCAUGGUUUAUAAGUCACCAGUAUUCUUAGUAUUUGAAGGAAAUCAUCUUUUCAUCCUUGGCAUUUUCACUUCUUUGAGACUCAUCAGUGUUCUGAGUUAUAAAAUGUAUAUAACAAUAGUACUUAUUCCAUAGAUAGUUUUGAGAAGAUUACUAAAGAGAGUCUAAUUAGCAUCUGACAUAUAUUAUGCCCCAAUAAAUGUUAGCUCAUAUUAGGAUCUCGGUCAGAGAGCACGUGUACAUAGGUGGUUAGCUUGCUUCAUAGAAAUUAGUGCAGGACUUGAGUAGCACACUGCUGGUGCUGGUGUCAGGCUAUGAAAACCAAAUUACUUCGAUCCAUAGAAUUGUUUUUAAAGAGAGGCAGUAACAUGUGCCACCAAGUAGUUGCACAGACAGAAGAGCCCUGGAAAACAGACCUCAGGGACCUCCAGGCCUACGGGCAGUGCGGUGGCACCCGUGUGCUGCUAAUCUGUGAGCUACCUGCGAGUGCUGAGGCAUGUCAUGGGCCCGGCAUAGAGCUGGGCGCUGAUAAAUGGUAGUAAGGUGAUCAGACGUAGUAGGAGAAAAGAACAUUUUAGCGAACUAUUUGUAAGAGCUCUGUGAUGUUCAAAGAUUCAAAGUCUGGUUAACAUUCUGCUGGACAUUGUUUCGUAGGGUCCCAGACUACGUCAUACAGAAUCCUUAGGAGGUCGUCAGAAUCUAAUCAACUAUGAAACAUUGUGAGGCUCACUGCACUGUAUUUGCAAAAGCAGAAACAAAAUCUACUGAGCAGUAAAGCUGAAAGAUGUCAAGAUGUCAAACCAUCAGAAAGCUAAGUUAACUGGAAGAAAUUUGUCUGAAAAUUCUAGUCACUCUGGUUUUACUAAAGUUUAUUAGACUUAAGGUUUGAAAACAGCAUUACUGAAUGCAACCUGACCAGCACAAGCCAUUCUUAUCCAACAUUUAAUGUUUUGAGUUUAUUUACAAAACCACUGAUGCCUACAUAAAGACUUGUAUGUGAAUAGUCAUUGCAGUGUUACUCAUAAUAUUCCAAAACUGGAAACAAUCUGAAUGCCCACCAACUGAUGAAUAAAUGAAAUGUAUAUCCAAA